CUUGUGCCCCUCUGGCUGGAGCCCUAGGCACUUUGAGAGGAAUAACAGGACGCAGUGGGGCUUUCCUGAAGUCUUUAAUAUGAUGUUCCAAGAGAAAGAGACACGUUGUCUGGAAGCCAGUGGCCUCAGCCCACCAAGAUAUCUGCUGUUACAGACUUGUGAGUUGCAGUUGUAGCUGUGAGUUGUAAAGAUGUGAGCGUUCUUAAAACUUCUCAUUCGGUCCAUGGUAGACUAGGUUAAUGAAUCACAAAAGAGCUGAUCCUGAUGAAUGGACGUGACCCAGAUAUCCGGGACCCCAUGCUGUCUGCAGGAGGUGGAUAAGACCUCCGGGAAAGGAUCUCUGCUGCUCUUGACAGUACAACCUUCUUUAGGGGAAAUGCUCCUCCCUCAAUUCUCCUGAUACAGGUCUGAGAGUUUGGCUCUCUCACACACACACACACACACACACACACACACACACGAGGAUAGGUGGU